rnacentral:rRNA from 1 species
AUUGAACGCUGGCGGCAUGCCUUACACAUGCAAGUCGAACGGCAGCACGGGGCAACCUGGUGGCGAGUGGCGAACGGGUGAGUAAUGCAUCGGAACGUGCCAUUGAGUGGGGGAUAACGUAGCGAAAGUUGCGCUAAUACCGCAUAUUCUGUGAGCAGGAAAGCAGGGGACCGCAAGGCCUUGCGCUCUUUGAGCGGCCGAUGUCAGAUUAGCUAGUUGGUGAGGUAACGGCUUACCAAGGCGACGAUCUGUAGCGGGUCUGAGAGGAUGAUCCGCCACACUGGAACUGAGACACGGUCCAGACUCCUACGGGAGGCAGCAGUGGGAAUUUUGGACAAUGGGCGCAAGCCUGAUCCAGCCAUGCCGCGUGAGUGGAGAAGGCCUU